rnacentral:antisense_RNA from 1 species
UUAUGGUGGCUGUGCGCAGGGCACCUUCGGGUGCGCCGGGUUCCAAUCGACCGGUCGACUAACCUGCGUACAGCUGCCACCU